UACGAAGGGGGCUAGCGUUGCUCGGAAUCACUGGGCGUAAAGCGCACGUAGGCGGAUCUUUAAGUCAGGGGUGAAAUCCUGGAGCUCAACUCCAGAACUGCCUUCGAUACUGGCGAGCUCGAGUUCGGGAGAGGUGAGUGGAACUGCGAGUGUAGAGGUGAAAUUCGUAGAUAUUCGCAAGAACACCAGUGGCGAAGGCGGCUCACUGGCCCGAUACUGACGCUGAGGUGCGAAAGCGUGGGGGAGCAAACAGG
rnacentral:rRNA from 1 species